rnacentral:rRNA from 1 species
UACAACGAAACUGCGAAUGGCUCGGUAAAACAGCAAUAAUUUAUUCAGGGGUAAUUGCUACUUGGAUAACCGUAGUAAAGCUAGAGCUAAUACGUGCUACAAAGGCGAGUUUCGUCCUCGUGGUACUAAGUAUUAGAUACAACCCAAUUUUAUUGGUGAUUCAUACUUAUCUUCUGAUCACACUCUGUGUGACGCCCUGAAUAAAUUUCUGACCUAUCAACUAUGAUGGUAAGGUAGUGUCUUACCAUGGUUGUGACGGGUAACGGACCGUGGGUGCGGGAUUCCGGAGAGGGAGCCUGAGAAACGGCUACCACAUCCAAGGAAGGCAGCAGGCGCGCAACUUACCCAAUCCGAACUUCGGGAGGUAGUGACAAAAAAUAUCAAUAGGGGGACCGAUGGUCUUCCUAAUUGGAAUGAAAACAUUCUAAAUACCUUAUUGAGGAACCAGCAGAGGGCAAGUCUGGUGCCAGCAGCCGCGGUAAUUCCAGCUCUGUAAGCGUAUACCAAAGUUGUUGCAGUUAAAACGCUCGUAGUCGAAUUUUGGUCUGGGUUAUCGGAGACUCCUACUGGAUGUCAACAUAACUUGGCCUUUGUGGAGGGGGGUAUGGUGUUACUUAAUUGUAUUGCUAUACUUCCGCCACUGUUUACUGUGAAAAAAUUAGAGUGUUCAAAGCGAGCGUUUGCCAUGAAUACAUUAGCAUGGAAUAAUAGAAUAGGACCUGGUUCUGUUUUAUUGGUUUGUCUGUAUCAGGUAAUGAUUAACAGGGACGGUCGGGGGCAUUUGUAUUCCAGCGUUAGAGGUGAAAUUCUUGGAUCGCUGGAAGACAGACAGCUGCGAAAGCGUCUGCCAAGGACGUUUUCAUUGAUCAAGAACGAAAGUAAGGGGAUCGAAGACGAUCAGAUACCGUCGUAGUCUUUACUAUAAACGAUGAUGACUAAGGAUCAGCCGUGGCCUAUUGGUACGGUUGGCACUUUCCGGGAAACCAAAGUUUUUGAUUUCUGGGGGGAGUAUGGUCGCAAGUCUGAAACUUAAAGGAAUUGACGGAAGGGCAUCACCGGGUGUGGAGCCUGCGGCUUAAUUUGACUCAACACGGGAAAACUUACCAGGUCCAGACAUAGUGAGGAUUGACAGAUUGAGAGCUCUUUCUUGAUUCUAUGGUUGGUG